AACGAACGCUGGCGGCAGGCCUAACACAUGCAAGUCGAGCGAGGACUUCGGUUCUAGCGGCGGACGGGUGAGUAACGCGUGGGAAUGUGCCCUUCUCUACGGAAUAGCCCUGGGAAACUGGGAGUAAUACCGUAUACGCCCUUUUGGGGAAAGAUUUAUCGGAGAAGGAUCAGCCUGCGUUGGAUUAGGUAGUUGGUGGGGUAAUGGCCUACCAGGCCGCCGAUCCAUAGCUGGUUUGAGAGGAUGAUCAGCCACACUGGGACUGAGACACGGCCCAGACUCCUACGGGAGGCAGCAGUAGGGAAUCUUAGACAAUGGGGGCAACCCUGAUCUAGCCAUGCCGCGUGAGUGAUGAAGGCCUUAGGGUUGUAAAGCUCUUUCAGCUGGGAAGAUAAUGACGGUACCAGCAGAAGAAGCACCGGCUAACUCCGUG
rnacentral:rRNA from 1 species